rnacentral:rRNA from 1 species
CACUAAGUGGGAGGUAAACUCCUUCUAAAGCUAAAUAUUGCCAUGAGACCGAUAGAAAACAAGUACCGUGAGGGAAAGUUGAAAAGUACUCUGAAUAGAGAGUCAAAUAGUACGUGAAACUGCCUAGGGGUUACAAACCCGUAGAACUCAAUGAUCCGGGCGGCGAUAUUCAGCGGUGGUCGGUUCCGCAAGGGGCCGGCUGCCGUGCACUUAUCGGUCCGCAGUAACGGACAUCGCGAUCCAUUACAAUUUGAAACUUGAACGCUUCAGCAACGGCCCCUGGCUCGUGUUUGGCGGCUCUCUAGUAAGGCGGCUCGGCGGCCACCCUGAGCGAGAGUCUCCGCGCCUUUCAACCGAGAGGCGCAGGGCCCGACCGAGUCUUGGUGUGCUGCUGAAAACGUGAUGGAUUGGUAUGAGCGGGGUGCCGAGUGUGUGACCUUAAGCCGGAGGUCCGAUAUAUGCUCGCCCCCCGAUCGGUGAUGACGCAUUAAGCAUUGAGGUACCUGCGGGA